CGACUCUCUCUCUCUCUCCCUCUCUCCCUCUCUCUUUCGUUGUUUUAUCUUGUCUUCGCACUCAUCGUCGAUUUAUCCCCGCCGGUGAUCCGAAUAUUUGUCACCGUUUUAGUUUCUUCUUUCUUUAUAGGUAGCGGGACAAAGUAUCUUGCAGAGGAUGAGGAAAAUAACUGCAACAAAAUGAUCGAAGUUUUUAUUCAGCCAUUGCGGUGGUGCAACCACUCCGGUCCUAUGUUUCUUUCGAAUCUUCGUUUAAAGCUGCAAUUAAUUGAUCAACAUUGGCAUCGCUUUACCAGGCACAUUCUUCACAUAUCGGGAGCUUCUAGCCUCUAAUGUGACUCACACACCGUGCUUGGAUUGAUUCUGGAACGCUUUUUAUUUUUACUGUUUUAACAUUCACUUGUAUUAAAAAUCACAGUACUAUUGUAUUAGAAAAUCUUUGUAACAUGUUCUUGAUACUAUAUUCGAGCUAAAAUUUUCCCGGAGUC